UCACAUUUUAAAUUACAGCUGUCUCUAGUUAACAGUUAUGGCGUGAUAAAAGCAAAAUGAGUAUGUAAGAGUAAAAUAAUUAAGAAGAAGCCUUUUGUCUGCCUGUAUGGGAACUGCUGAGUCAUGGCCUGAACCUCUGAUUGAUCACCUGAGGCGAGCCAUGAGUCAGCCAGAGGAGCACAGGUGAAGGCAAUUCACCUGUGCUGCAGGAAGGGGUGGAGCCAGGCUCCAGCCCUCCUAGACCUAUUUAAGAGCUGGCUACCAGUGGGGAAGGUUCUCUUCUAGAGAUUGCCUCUGCUGCUGUAUUGUGGGUGAGCCCAGGAUAGAGAAACUGCUCUACACACAGCCCUUGAAUGGAUGGUUAAAAACCUGGAAACUGAGGAGCAAUGCCCAUCUCACUCAGGCCCUCGGGAAAGAAGACUGUCAAGGGUGUGGCUAUAAGGAUAUGCCUGCCAAACCUGAAACAUGGAAGUUCAGCCACCUACAGGUUGAAAAAUGCUUAGUUUCCAGGAAACAUCUCUACUAUUACUUUAUAACCGCAAAAGGAGAAAUCUUGUCUUACUUUCUUCUAUCAGAACCGGUUCAUACACACACAAAAAAGGAAUUUUACUGUAACAUUUUGGAAGUUGUUAGAGAAGGUUGGUCUUCCAUUUUCUAAUCUAAUUCUACAUAUAGACUGGUUUUGUUAUAAGUGUUUACUCCUAAAAAUCUGUCAUUUGACUUCAAUAGAUUCUUUGUAUAGACAGCUUAUUACAAUAGUACUCAUGUCGUUCUUGUAACAUGACUAUGGCCACACACCCUGCACAAAACACUGUGGUACUAUUUUUAUAGGCUCUUUCUUUUUCGCAGCCAAAAACAUUGGCCCUGGUUUGCACUGAUAGUUGUGUAGGGCAGAGAGAAAGAAAACCUCUGCCAAGAAUCUGCCUGUUUUAGCUCCAAAUUUAUUUUAAUGCCUUGUAAAGCCAAGGAUCAUUUGAAGACUAUCUCCAAACUCCCAGGAGAAAGAAAAGUGCCUGGGGACUUGUAAAUAUGGCCUAGUAAAAUAGAUAGGAUUUUGUUUUACACUUUGUAAACAUGUGUACAUUGUACUUGGUUUGCAAACGUGCACUGAAUUCUUUCUUCUCUUUCCCUCUUUUUCUUUCUAACAUUGGUGAUGUGUUCAACUUGAAUAUGGCUAAGCUGUCAGAAGAUUUUUCUACAUGUGCUGAAGUGAUUCCAAACAUCUGUCUUAAAUCCCAUAAUACGCAACACUGUGAGAAAAAAUUAAUUCAAGGACAUUCUGAUGAUAACAAGGAUAUAGCUUCAUAACAAUAACAAAAAAAAGCCACUGGAGAAAGUGCAGGCGGCUGUAACCUCAGGGCUCAUGUCAUGUUACUGUGGCCAUAAAACAAAAAUCAUUUUGUUCCCAGUACUUCUGUGUAAUGUUGUUAAAGACAGAUUCGUCCUACUUAAAAUGAGAAAAAACUAAAAACUGAAUGAAAGAUAUGUCUUUUAGAAGUGUGUUACUUAUCGCUCACAUCAGAGCAGUGGAAGGAUCUGGGGCAGAGAUGUUCUUGCUAGUCAAUUACAAAAAUGAGGGCUUGAGAGAUCUGAUAUAUUUGAAAAAAGUGUUAUCGUACAACAGUAUUUUUGUUCUUACAACCCGUGUACUGCCAAUGCAAAAGCCACCUCUAUGUCUUACUCUGGUUUUUUUUCUUUUUUUGGACAAUGUUCUAUGCUUGUCUUUACCCAUUUUGGUCAGCUGAAGAAUAGAUAACCUUGAAAAUCUCAACGCUAAAAAAGAGCUUUUCUCUGGAUAAAUUGUGCUUUUUCACAUACAUUUUUCAUCAUCCUGCCCUUCCACUGCUUUAGCAGCUCCUGGUUCAGAGGCAGCAGUAUCACCAGAGGCAAGCUUUCCUGAAUGCUGCUUGGAGAGAUUAAUUUCCUCUCUGCUUCCUUGCAACAGAAAACUUAGUAUCUUUAAAGAUCUCACUAGCCACAUUAAAAAAUGGCCUUCCCAAACUCUCAUACGUUACUUCUGUUUGAACAUAAGUCUGUAUACUUUGCAGCUAUUUAUUGCUUUGUCAUAAGUAAGACGCGCUGAUACACUCCUAACACAACCUCAUCUAAUCUUAAUGGAACAGUUGCCUUGGUUUUGUUAGUGCCAGUAUCCUUCAUUUAUGCCAUCUUAUCAACUCAUGUCACUGUGAUUUACUAGGCACUUAUGAAAUUCUGAAGGGAAAAAUCAGAGAUAGCUCCUAUUCGUCUACACUCGUACAUCUUUUACCUCUUUCUGAACUGCCAAAAUAGAGAUCUCGAAAGGGAAUUGUUGUUUUCCUGCACUUGAAAAUGAAGCACAACAGGAAACAAUUUCUGGGGAAAAGUAAUAGGCAGAAACUAUCUGAAAGAAU